rnacentral:ribozyme from 1 species
UGCCCAGUAACUCCUAUCCCUACCUUCUCGUUGUCCGGCUGGAAAGUACGAGCAACCCAGGGGAGCCAACCCAGGUGACAAUUUUCGUCGUAGGCUGACAGGGAAGG